rnacentral:lncRNA from 1 species
GGAGGUGUGGAGGGCUUCCUCACCUUUCUCCUCGCUGGUGCCAAGCUCAGGGGAGGCUCCUAGGGCGUGGGGAUACAAAUAGAGAAGCCACAUUGCAAAAACACCCCUGCAGUUUCGACCAUUCAAAAUCUGCCACUGCGUACUGGUACACGGGCCCGCGUACCGGUACACCUCUCACGAAAACGCCAAACCCGAGUCUCGGGUUGGCUGAGAUGCUGCCACAGUUGAUGGCUGUACCGGUACAGCCAUCACCCUGUACCGGUACAUAGCCCACUGAAGGCUACUCGAGAGCUUAACCAAAAA